rnacentral:rRNA from 1 species
AAAUGAAUAGACGGGGGCCCGCACAAGCAGUGGAUUAUGUGGUUUAAUUCGAAGCAACGCGAAGAACCUUACCAGGUCUUGACAUCCCUUGCAUACCAUAGAGAUAUGGGAAGCCCUUCGGGGCAAGGAGACAGGUGGUGCAUGGUUGUCGUCAGCUCGUGUCGUGAGAUGUUGGGUUAAGUCCCGCAACGAGCGCAACCCUUACUAUUAGUUGCUACGCAAGAGCACUCUAAUAGGACUGCCGUUGACAAAACGGAGGAAGGUGGGGAUGACGUCAAAUCAUCAUGCCCCUUAUGACCUGGGCUACACACGUAAUACAAUGACGAUAAACAGAGGGUAGCGAAGCCGCGAGGUGGAGCCAAUCCCCAAAAGUCGUCUCAGUUCGGAUUGCAGGCUGCAACUCGCCUGCAUGAAGUCGGAAUUGCUAGUAAUCGCAGGUCAGCAUACUGCGGUGAAUACGUUCCCGGGCCUUGUACACACCGCCCGU